CAGAUCCUUGAAACAUUAGCAUGCCGUGGGGUUUAUGGCAACCAAUCAGUAACAACCACUCUCAGUGCGUACACAUACACUCCUAAUCAUUAGGAUACAGAGGGAAUUCUACUGCUAGUCAGUGUGUGUCGGUAGUUUUUGAAGUUGUUUUGUUGUUGGAAAGAGUGGUGAUGGAUCCUAAAGCUUGUGACUGUGCUACAGGAGUGGAGGGCCUCCAAGGCCUAGAGCACAUGUAGUCCGGACUAGUAGUAGAAGAGACCGACAGAUCAGGCACAAUCCUUUCCAAUAGAUCCUCUCUCUCCCUCUCAAAAUGUUGCUGCCGAUGAGAGGGCUGCGAACAUUAAUGCCCAUACAGAACGCCUGGU